rnacentral:rRNA from 1 species
CUAGCUACAGGCUUAACACAUGCAAGUCGAGGGGCAGCAUGGUCUUAGCUUGCUAAGGCCGAUGGCGACCGGCGCACGGGUGAGUAACACGUAUCCAACCUGCCGUCUACUCUUGGACAGCCUUCUGAAAGGAAGAUUAAUACAAGAUGGCAUCAUGAGUCCGCAUGUUCACAUGAUUAAAGGUAUUCCGGUAGACGAUGGGGAUGCGUUCCAUUAGAUAGUAGGCGGGGUAACGGCCCACCUAGUCUUCGAUGGAUAGGGGUUCUGAGAGGAAGGUCCCCCACAUUGGAACUGAGACACGGUCCAAACUCCUACGGGAGGCAGCAGUGAGGAAUAUUGGUCAAUGGGCGCAGGCCUGAACCAGCCAAGUAGCGUGAAGGAUGACUGCCCUAUGGGUUGUAAACUUCUUUUAUAAAGGAAUAAAGUCGGGUAUGGAUACCCGUUUGCAUGUACUUUAUGAAUAAGGAUCGGCUAACUCCGUGCCAGCAGCCGCGGUAAUACGGAGGAUCCGAGCGUUAUCCGGAUUUAUUGGGUUUAAAGGGAGCGUAGAUGGAUGUUUAAGUCAGUUGUGAAAGUUUGCAGCUCAACCGUAAAAUUGCAGUUGAUACUGGAUAUCUUGAGUGCAGUUGAGGCAGGCGGAAUUCGUGGUGUAGCGGUGAAAUGCUUAGAUAUCACGAAGAACUCCGAUUGCGAAGGCAGCCUGCUAAGCUGCAACUGACAUUGAGGCUCGAAAGUGUGGGUAUCAAACAGGAUUAGAUACCCUGGUAGUCCACACGGUAAACGAUGAAUACUCGCUGUUUGCGAUAUACAGCAAGCGGCCAAGCGAAAGCGUUAAGUAUUCCACCUGGGGAGUACGCCGGCAACGGUGAAACUCAAAGGAAUUGACGGGGGCCCGCACAAGCGGAGGAACAUGUGGUUUAAUUCGAUGAUACGCGAGGAACCUUACCCGGGCUUAAAUUGCAGAUGAAUUACGGUGAAAGCCGUAAGCCGCAAGGCAUCUGUGAAGGUGCUGCAUGGUUGUCGUCAGCUCGUGCCGUGAGGUGUCGGCUUAAGUGCCAUAACGAGCGCAACCCUUGUUGUCAGUUACUAACAGGUUCCGCUGAGGACUCUGACAAGACUGCCAUCGUAAGAUGUGAGGAAGGUGGGGAUGACGUCAAAUCAGCACGGCCCUUACGUCCGGGGCUACACACGUGUUACAAUGGGGGGUACAGAGGGCCGCUACCACGCGAGUGGAUGCCAAUCCCCAAAACCUCUCUCAGUUCGGACUGGAGUCUGCAACCCGACUCCACGAAGCUGGAUUCGCUAGUAAUCGCGCAUCAGCCACGGCGCGGUGAAUACGUUCCCGGGCCUUGUACACACCGCCCGUCAAGCCAUGGGAGCCGGGGGUACCUGAAGUGCGUAACCGCGAGGAGCGCCCUAGGGUAAAACUGGUGACUGGG